UAUGAAGUAGGCGGGGCUCUACUGUACUUGUGCACUGUGUUCACCACUGUGUGAGUGAUAAGUGCUGCUGUGAAGAGAACAACUGUCAGACUGAGUGUUGAACAUCGUCAGUUGCUCCUGUUGACUGAAACCUUGUUGUACAGAUGGAACAUUGUCUGUGGAUUAUUGCUGCUGCUCUGGUCUUUGAGUGUAAAGCACAAGACAGAGUGGUGCAGCCAGCAGGAGAUGUCACUGCUACUGAAGGAGACAAACUUACACUUGGUUGUACAUUUCAGACCAGUGACCCAUCUCCCACUCUGUUCUGGUACAAACAAAAAGUCAAUGAUUUCCCAAAGAUGCUCCUGCUACGCUUCUCAACAAGAGAAGAUCGUCCUGCAGAAAAAAAGAAGGAGAGAAUUGAUGCUAUUGUCAACAAGACAUCAGUUCCUCUGCAGAUCCAGAAGCUCCAGCUGUCUGACUCUGCUGUGUACUACUGUGCUCUGAGGCCCACAGUGACAGGAAACAACACAACUCUGUACAAAAACCUCUGCAGCAAACAAGUCAAUACUCCACAUGGUCCACUAGAGGGAGUCACACCCUGUCACACCUCAGUGUUUCUCUUCAUCCAGAUUCUUCUUGGUGCAGAUUCACACCAGAGAGAAUGAACAACUAAAGCCGAGAUUUUUUUGGGGUGUACCACAGGGUUCAAUCCUGGGUCCUCUCAUGUUCUGUUAUAAAAUACAUCAAAGUCCAGUAAUUAUGGCAGAAGGAUUGUUUGAAGUCUUACUGUCACAGUCAGCUCACCUUCAUGCCCAGUAGGUUCCCACGUCACCUCCCCUCUGUCCCGCACGAGCAAUCAGCUACACCCACCUCAGCACCCCGGUAAAGACCUCGGUCUUCUGCCCCGACUCCGAGCCUUGCCUGUGUACUGACGAUUUCCUGGUUGGUGUCAUCCACCGGGACAGUUUCAUUGGCGUUGUCUGCUCGCCGGCAGUUUGUGAACAAUAAAGCUGAUUACCAACAUA